rnacentral:tRNA from 1 species
GCCACCCUAGCUCAGCCGGUAGAGCGGAGCUUUCGUAAAGCUCAGGUCACGGGUUCGAGUCCCGUGGGUGGCU